GUCUCAUGGAACAGUGGGAAUUAAAUGGUGAAAUAAAAGAAGAUUAUGUACAGGAAAUAUGUCGUUUUGGUGGAAGUCAAUUACAUCCUGUUGCGUCGUUUAUGGGUGGAUCUGCCGCACAUGAAGUCAUCAAAAUUAUCACAAAUCAGUAUGUUCCGUUUCAUGAUUAUUUCAUCUUCAACGCGAUGACAGGCUCUUCUGUAAGUCUAAAACUUUGAUCGUGUGCUUUUCAAUUCCGUUCAUUUGAACAGGAAUUCCACAAAUUCGAAAACGCCAUGUCAGUCGUAAAAGCGAAAGAUGAGUUCAAUGUUGUGUUUGUCAUGCAUUGACUAAAACUUGUAGCCUUGCAUAUGACUUAAUCAUGUGUGAACAUCUUUCGUUUGCUUUUUUUACCAAGGUCUAUGAGAAAGUUUUUGUACAAAUGAGAAAAUUAAUAGGCAUGAUGUAGAUUGUGAAAAUAAAACCGGACAGUUGAUUUUGUACUAUGCAGCAAACGUCAUUUCCUAGAAUUGAAACGGUCGUUAAAUGGCUUUUGAACUUCGUCAAGAUCUGCUUCUUGACUUUGAUAAAAAUCGCCAGUGUUUAAGAUUGUGCGCACUUGUUAUAAUGGCCGAGAUCAAAGAGCUUUUAAUGAAAUAAAGAAAUACAAAAUAAAA